AUUAUCUUAGCAGAUCAUUUCCUUUUGAUGUUAAUUGUUGUUGUUAAAUCAAAAACAGUUACUACACUUGCUGUAAUAAAACCAUUUUUAUACAUUUUUAUGAAGGUCUGUCCAUUUAGAACAAAAUGUGCAUGCAUGUUUAUGUAGAAAUAAUUGAACACACCCCCGGAUAAGGAUCUUAAAAGCUAUGCUUUAAAGCACAACAUUUCUGUUUAUUUUAAUACAAUAAAUAUUUAAUGUUAAACAAGUUCUAAUUUUCAGUCCGUCUGAACGCAGUGCUUCGCUAUGAGAAACACUUUCUUUACCAUCUUUAUUGUGUUUUAACAUGUUGUCUUUUGUCAUGUGUUAUUAGGCAUGUUCAACUUCAUGAAGCGCUGCGAGAACCCACAUCAUAUGUUGAUGACGUAAACGUAUCGCGAGACUGAGUCAAGAAAUUACACGUAGAGGUCUAAUUUCGAACCGCUCUCGCGGUACAUUGACGUCAUCAUCAUGUCAGCGCCGCAUGAGGUCGAACACACCUAUUAUUUGCGGGCACGCGCCUCCGUCCUCGUGAGUUCAAAAAUUGAAUUUAACCGAUGUUUACCUCAGACGACAGUUUUCGUUUCUGUGAUAAAUUCUGAGCUAAUUUUCUUGUUGUGUUUGAUCUUUUCCAUUGGCUGAAGAAUGCUGUGACAAAAAAGCAACCAGGACACCACAUCUGCAGUGACAGAGAGCAGGAUGGGGGAGGAAUCAGAGGGACCAGAAGAUAAUAUCAACUGGUGCCCCUGAGGAGAUUCACAUUGUUCUGUUUCUUUUGUUUAGUAAUAAGCGGUUUUAUGUGAUU